UACGGAGGGUGCAAGCGUUGCUCGGAAUUAUUGGGCGUAAAGGGCAGGUAGGUGGUCUCAUUUGUCUGAGGUGAAAGCCUUGAGCUUAACUCAAGAAGUGCCCCAGAAACGGUGAGACUGGAGUCCUGGAGAGGGUCGUGGAAUUCCCGGUGUAGCGGUGAAAUGCGUAGAGAUCGGGAGGAACACCAGAGGCGAAGGCGGCGACCUGGACAGGCACUGACACUCAACUGCGAAAGCGUGGGGAGCAAACAGG
rnacentral:rRNA from 1 species